rnacentral:rRNA from 1 species
AUUGAACGCUGGCGGCAUGCCUUACACAUGCAAGUCGAACGGUAACAGGUCUUCGGAUGCUGACGAGUGGCGAACGGGUGAGUAAUACAUCGGAACGUGCCUAGUAGUGGGGGAUAACUACUCGAAAGAGUGGCUAAUACCGCAUGAGAUCUACGGAUGAAAGCAGGGGAUCGCAAGACCUUGUGCUACUAGAGCGGCCGAUGGCAGAUUAGGUAGUUGGUGGGAUAAAAGCUUACCAAGCCGACGAUCUGUAGCUGGUCUGAGAGGACGAUCAGACCAACUGGGACUGAGACAGGGCCCAGACCCCUACGGGAGGCAGAAGUGGGGAAUUUUGGACAAUGGGCGCAAGCCUGAUCCAGCAACGCCGCGUGCAGGAUGAAGGCCUUCGGGUUGUAAACUGCUUUUGUACGGAACGAAAAGCCCUGGGUUAAUACCCUGGGGUCAUGACGGUACCGUAAGAAUAAGCACCGGCUAACUACGUGCCAGCAGCCGCCGUAACAC